GUAAAACUCGUGCUUGGACGAAGAAGGAAGGGAAAGAAGCAAAAAAAUUGGCGAAAAGUGACAGAAUCCAAAAAACGGGGAUUAAAUUGGCCAUUGAUGGAAGUUGGAGGCCAAGGCAUACAAGUCAAAAAGUGGAGGAUUUGAGAUGCAAUUAUUCAGGGACCAAAGCUGAAAAUUUUCCUAGGUUUUACUAUUAAAAACCAUGCAGAUCCUUGGAGAAGAGGAACGGCCGAGGGAAAGAAAAAAAAAGAGAAAAACGGCUGCUGCUGACUAAUAUACAUACAAACCUACAGCAAGAAGAGAAAUUGGCUGCUGGG
rnacentral:lncRNA from 1 species